UUAGGUUUUCUUCUUCUUUUUUUGGGAUUCUUGUUGUUGAAUGUUGAUGGAGAUGAUAUAAAGAUGAAAAAGAGGAGAAG
rnacentral:pre_miRNA from 1 species